rnacentral:rRNA from 2 species
AAAUUGAAGAGUUUGAUCAUGGCUCAGAUUGAACGCUGGCGGCAGGCCUAACACAUGCAAGUCGAACGGUAACAGGAAGCAGCUUGCUGCUUCGCUGACGAGUGGCGGACGGGUGAGUAAUGUCUGGGAAACUGCCUGAUGGAGGGGGAUAACUACUGGAAACGGUGGCUAAUACCGCAUAACGUCGCAAGACCAAAGAGGGGGACCUUCGGGCCUCUUGCCAUCAGAUGUGCCCAGAUGGGAUUAGCUUGUUGGUGAGGUAACGGCUCACCAAGGCGACGAUCCCUAGCUGGUCUGAGAGGAUGACCAGCCACACUGGAACUGAGACACGGUCCAGACUCCUACGGGAGGCAGCAGUGGGGAAUAUUGCACAAUGGGCGCAAGCCUGAUGCAGCCAUGCCGCGUGUAUGAAGAAGGCCUUCGGGUUGUAAAGUACUUUCAGCGGGGAGGAAGGUGUUGCGGUUAAUAACCGCAGCAAUUGACGUUACCCGCAGAAGAAGCACCGGCUAACUCCGUGCCAGCAGCCGCGGUAAUAC